rnacentral:lncRNA from 1 species
CUUCCAUUGAUGGGCAUCAGCUGAGUUUUGUUCCAUUUUGUUUUCUGCUCUAACAGGGCAGCACUGAGUUCAAUGCCUCACAGUUGUUGCACUUUGCCUCUCUCCAGUGCACAGAAUCACUCUCCGCACCAUGCCACAGCUGCUUGGGAAUGGGGGAGGGAUGGUGUUUGUGAUUCAAGACUGUUUUUCCUACCUCUUCAAUGCCUCUUUCAGCAAUAUGAAGUUAAAACCAGUGACAUGGAAGAGGACUCCUCCAAGGGAGCUGUGCAGUUGGCAGGCAAGCUUAUGAGG